rnacentral:rRNA from 1 species
GAUUUCUGGCUCGUUGCCCUAGCCCGCUUGCUUCGGUGGGUGAGUGCUGGUGCAAUCUGCCAUCCUUCCAGAGAGCCGUGAGUACCAUUUACUUGGCCGCUCGCGUGCGAUCUGGAUCAUUUACUUUGAAAAAAUUAGAGUGUUUAAAGCAGGCUUACGCCUUGAAUACAUUAGCAUGGAAUAAUAACAUAGGACUUCGGUUCUAUUUUGUUGGUUUCUAGGACCUUAGUAAUGAUUGAUAGGGAUAGUUGGGGGUGCUAGUAUUCAGCGGCCAGAGGUGAAAUUCUUGGAUUCGCUGAAGACUAACUACUGCGAAAGCAUU